rnacentral:snoRNA from 1 species
CGUAUCUGCCUUAGAUCCUUUGUCAGGUUUAACUACCUUCAUGGUAAUUAUUCCAACGAGCUUCUUUAUGAACUUUUUCGUUGACAAAGCUUGAGUCAUUCAGAUACAAGAUUACUUAUACCUCCAUCUUGGUCCCAGCUUUUGUUUUCUUCUUCGGAUGGAAAUGAAAUCCCAUCUUAGCCAAUAUGUUUCAUUACAUAUUAACGCUGAUGGAACGGAUUCUCUUGGGGAAAGC